rnacentral:rRNA from 1 species
UACGUAGGGGGCUAGCGUUGUCCGGAUUUAUUGGGCGUAAAGAGCGUGUAGGCGGCCAGGUAGGUCCGUUGUGAAAACUCGAGGCUCAACCUCGAGACGUCGGCGGAAACCCUCUGGCUAGAGUCCGGAAGAGGAGAGUGGAAUUCCUGGUGUAGCGGUGAAAUGCGCAGAUAUCAGGAAGAACACCCGUGGCGAAGGCGGCUCUCUGGACCGAGACUGACGCUGAGGCGCGAAAGCGUGGGGAGCAAACAGG